rnacentral:rRNA from 1 species
UUUUUUAUGGAGAGUUUGAUCCUGGCUCAGGACGAACGCUGGCGGCGUGCUUAACACAUGCAAGUCGAACGGUAAGGCCCCUUCGGGGGUACACGAGUGGCGAACGGGUGAGUAACACGUGGGUGACCUGCCCUGUACUUCGGGAUAAGCCUGGGAAACUGGGUCUAAUACCGGAUAUGACCUUCCCCUGCAUGGGGGUUGGUGGAAAGCUUUUGCGGUACAGGAUGGGCCCGCGGCCUAUCAGCUUGUUGGUGGGGUAAUGGCCUACCAAGGCGACGACGGGUAGCCGGCCUGAGAGGGCGACCGGCCACACUGGGACUGAGACACGGCCCAGACUCCUACGGGAGGCAGCAGUGGGGAAUAUUGCACAAUGGGCGAAAGCCUGAUGCAGCGACGCCGCGUGAGGGAUGACGGCCUUCGGGUUGUAAACCUCUUUCAGUAGGGACGAAGCGCAAGUGACGGUACCUACAGAAGAAGCACCGGCCAACUACGUGCCAGCAGCCGCGGUAAUACGUAGGGUGCGAGCGUUGUCCGGAUUUACUGGGCGUAAAGAGCUCGUAGGCGGUUUGUC